AUGAACUCCUCUUCCUCUUUUUGGGUGGAACUGCUAAGCCUCUCCAGUUUUCAACAGCUUCUUCAUCUGUUGGAUGGAUGUUUGUGACAGUGUCAGACUUCCCAGAGCAGGAAGCAUCCAUCUCUGGCCUUCCAUCAAUCCUGCAGGUUGUGAAAAAACACGCAUGUUGCCUUCAAUGAAGGACAGAUGUCGAGCAAUGAAUCGAUCCACUCGAUUAGGCAAGUGUUCAUGCUUGAAAAGGCCGUGUUUGAUGUUUUUAAACUCGGCUUCGACAUUGGCUGAACUUGCAGUGAUUUUGGAGCUCCGGAAGUGAGGGAUCAUUACCCCUGUCCAGAGAGGUCUGUCUGUGUUUGGUCACAUGGAUCCACUUCUUCCAGGUCCGCACCCUCUACAUCUGGAAUGAUGACACACUCUUCUGCAAUUCUGGCUUUUAGUCCCACCGGCUGAUCAUCUUGAUGCAGUGAGCAACAUCAACCCGCACGAAACAAGCAUUUGCACUACUGGGACACUUGAGCUCUCACCCCCUGCCACAACACCCUGAUAAAGGAAUAUAUGGCCAGACUUGCCAUUUGGUCUCUGUAGUUUCCUCACCACUGAGCCAGUUGCAUCAAAACUCACAGUGGGGGUGGCCAAAUUAGGCAGAUGACUUGGCUCAGGAUCUCCAAAAUCCAUCAGCUUUAUUGCCUCUGAUGCCCUCCAUACAUGGGGUUCCUUUCUACCUUCACACAGUUCUUUGGAUAUCUGCACACGCAAGUUACCAGACAUCGGACGUUUGGAACAGCCAGUGUGCAGGGAGUCAUCAGUGUUUUUAAGCGAACACCUGAACAUCAUUGUGCUGUUUAUUUCAGGCUUUUUGUCACAUUUUAUGUGAAUUUGGCCACGACACUCCUUACAGUUGCCUCUGAUUAAAAUAUAUUGGUCUGUGACUGAUGGAUAGACCUUGGCUCUUUUAAAAGUAAAUGUGCAGGGGCAUUUCACUUCUUGCCAAAUAUGAUGAUUUAUCACAUGCGUCCAGAUACCAGGCUUCAAAAUUGUGUAUUCCUUUUUUUUUGUUUUAGAGAACUUGUUUUUGUAUGUCACUGUUUCAGGCAUAAAUUCAAUCCAUUUCUGAAAUGCAUCGCAUCAUCUUCCGCUUAAUCCGGGGCCGGGUCGCGGGGGCAGCAGUCUAAGCAGGGAUGCCCAGACUUCCCUCUCCCCAGACACUUCCUCCAGCUCUUCCGGGGGGACACCGAGG
ensembl:lncRNA